rnacentral:rRNA from 1 species
AGAACUUAGCAGNGAUGCUUUGGUGCCUUCGGGAACUCUGAGACAGGUGCUGCAUGGCUGUCGUCAGCUCGUGUUGUGAAAUGUUGGGUUAAGUCCCGCAACGAGCGCAACCCUUAUCCUUUGUUGCCAGCGGUCCGGCCGGGAACUCAAAGGAGACUGCCAGUGAUAAACUGGAGGAAGGUGGGGAUGACGUCAAGUCAUCAUGGCCCUUACGAGUAGGGCUACACACGUGCUACAAUGGCGCAUACAAAGAGAAGCGACCUCGCGAGAGCAAGCGGACCUCAUAAAGUGCGUCGUAGUCCGGAUUGGAGUCUGCAACUCGACUCCAUGAAGUCGGAAUCGCUAGUAAUCGUGGAUCAGAAUGCCACGGUGAAUACGUUCCCGGGCCUUGUACACACCGCCCGUCACACCAUGGGAGUGGGUUGCAAAAGAAGUAGGUAGCUUAACCUUCGGGAGGGCGCUUACCACUUUGUGAUUCAUGACUGGGGUGAAGUCGUAACAAGGUAAGCGUAGUGCU